rnacentral:lncRNA from 1 species
GCAACUUAAAAAUUUUAAUGUAAUAGUUUAGUGCUAAAUGCCCAUAGUUCUGUAUGAAAUCACAUAGCUACUCUGUUAUCCAAUUGGUUUCAUACCAUUAGAAUUACAAGGUCUUAUUCAUAGCAUAUUGGUAUCAGUUGGUAAACAAAACAAAAAAGGAAACUAAUACACACCAACUACAUUAAAACAUUAACAAAACUAAUACUAGAAACAUCCCCUUUAUUUUCCUUUCAGGCCAUUCGGUCACUGCAGUUAAAUAGUAGCAAGAGAAUAAAGUGGGAGAGACUUGGAAAGCUUACCUUUAGAAAUUUC